rnacentral:rRNA from 1 species
UACAGAGGUCUCAAGCGUUGUUCGGAUUCAUUGGGUUUAAAGGGUGCGUAGGCGGGCAGGUAAGUCCGUGGUGAAAUCUCUGAGCUUAACUCAGAAACUGCCAUGGAUACUAUUUGUCUUGAAUGUUGUGGAGGUAAGCGGAAUAUGUCAUGUAGCGGUGAAAUGCUUAGAUAUGACAUAGAACACCAAUUGCGAAGGCAGCUUACUACACAAAUAUUGACGCUGAGGCACGAAAGCGUGGGGAUCAAACAGG